rnacentral:rRNA from 1 species
UACAGAGGGUGCAAGCGUUAAUCGGAAUUACUGGGCGUAAAGCGUGUGUAGGUGGUUUGUUAAGUCAGGUGUGAAAUCCCUGGGCUCAACCUGGGAACUGCAUCUGAUACUGUCAGACUAGAGUGUGGUAGAGGGUAGUGGAAUUCCGCAUGUAGCGGUGAAAUGCGUAGAGAUGCGGAGGAACACCAGUGGCGAAGGCGGCUACCUGGACCAACACUGACACUGAGGCACGAAAGCGUGGGUAGCAAACAGG